rnacentral:rRNA from 1 species
AAAGGAAUAGACGGGGGCCCGCACAAGCAGCGGAGCAUGUGGUUUAAUUCGAAGCAACGCGAAGAACCUUACCAAGGCUUGACAUCAUUAUCGAUAUAUCUGAGAAGGUAUAGCCUUUCGGGGGAUAAUGACAGGUGGUGCAUGGUUGUCGUCAGCUCGUGUCGUGAGAUGUUGGGUUAAGUCCCGCAACGAGCGCAACCCUUGCAGUCAGUUACCAUCAUUAAGUUGGGGACUCUGACUGGACUGCCGUGGACAACACGGAGGAAGGCGGGGAUGACGUCAAAUCAUCAUGCCCCUUAUGUCUUGGGCUACACACGUGCUACAAUGGCCGCAACAAAGAGGUACGAACCCGCAAGGGGGAGUGAAUCACAAAAAAGCGGUCUCAGUUCGGAUUGUGGGCUGCAACCCGCCCACAUGAAGUCGGAGUUGCUAGUAAUCGCGAAUCAGCAUGUCGCGGUGAAUGCGUUCCCGGGCCUUGUACACACCGCCCGU